rnacentral:misc_RNA from 1 species
GAUGAAGAACGUAGCGAAAUGCGAUAAGUAGUGUGAAUUGCAGAAUUCAGUGAAUCAUCGAAUCUUUGAACGCACAUUGCGCCCCUUGGUAUUCCAUGGGGCAUGCCUGUUCGAGCGUCAUUUGUACCUUCAAGCUCUGCUUGGUGUUGGGUGUUUAUCUCGCCUCUGCGCGUAGACUCGCCUCAAAACAAUUGGCAGCCGGCGUAUUGAUUUCGGAGCGCAGUACAUCUCGCGCUUUGCACUCAUAACGACGACGUCCAAAAGUACAUUUUUACACUCUUGACCUCGGAUCAGGUAGGGAUACCCGCUGAACUUAAGCAUAUCAAUAAGCGGAGGA